UAGGCAUAUUUUUUUCCAUCAGAUAUAGCGUAUUGGUGAUAGCCAUUUUAAACUAUGCGCUUCGUUUUGCAGGUUGAUGUUCGUUAUCAGCACUGAACGAAAAUAAAGCAGUAACCCGCAAUGUGUGCGAAUUAUUGGCAAAAGGCAACCACAGGCUGCCUUUUUCUUU
rfam:Shigella dysenteriae Sd197, complete genome.